rnacentral:rRNA from 1 species
UACAGAGGGUGCAAGCGUUGUUCGGAAUUAUUGGGCGUAAAGCGCGUGUAGGCGGCUUUGCAAGUCGGGUGUGAAAGCCCUCAGCUUAACUGGGGAACUGCGUCUGAUACUGGAUGGCUUGGAUUCGGGAGAGGAAUGCGGAAUUCCAGGUGUAGCGGUGAAAUGCGUAGAUAUCUGGAGGAACACCGGUGGCGAAGGCGGCAUUCUGGACCGACAUUGACGCUGAGGAGCGAAAGCCAGGGGAGCAAACGGG